rfam:Marchantia polymorpha subsp. polymorpha scaffold1425, whole genome shotgun sequence.
AUAAUGGACUAAAAAAACCUGCUUAUUUGCACCCUGGAUUAUCGCCUGUGGCAGCCAAGCUUUCAUAGCCACGUCGAUUUUUUAUCCUUAGAUGUAGGCUCUUCCUAUAAUUGUAAAGCAGAAGUCACCAAGUGUUGGAUUGUUCACCCACCAAUAGUUAACGUGAGCUGGGUUUAGACCGUCGUGAGAGAGGUUAGUUUCACCCUACUGAUUACUUGGCGCCGCAAAAGUAAUUCAACUUAGUACGAGAUGAUUCACAUAAUUGGCAAUUGCGUUUGGUUGAAGCCAGCGACACGAAGCUACCAUGCGUAAGAUUCUGACUGAACGCCUCUAAGUCAGAAACCAUACUAGAAGCUAUAAUGGACUAAAAACAACCGCUUUUUUAACACACAUUGUAAAAUAAGAGACGGUGCACACCGCUGCUUACUUUAUAAAAUAAACAGUGGUGUGCACCGUCGCUUAUUUAAGGGCCUGUUCAGUGCACAACUCGCUCUCCCAUUUUUCUUCCGUCACCGAGU